rnacentral:rRNA from 1 species
AACCGACACAGGUAGGCGAGGAGAGAAUCCUAAGGUGAUCGAGAGAACUCUCGUUAAGGAACUCGGCAAAAUGACCCCGUAACUUCGGGAGAAGGGGUGCUCUGGUAGUGUGUAUAGCCCGAGAGAGCCGCAGUGAAUAGGCCCAAGCGACUGUUUAGCAAAAACACAGGUCUCUGCGAAGCCGCAAGGCGAAGUAUAGGGGCUGACGCCUGCCCGGUGCUGGAAGGUUAAGAGGAGUGGUUAGCCGUAUGGGAGAAGCUCUGAAUCGAAGCCCCAGUAAACGGCGGCCGUAACUAUAACGGUCCUAAG